rnacentral:lncRNA from 1 species
CGUUGGACAAAUAACAAAACGAAAUGAAAUGAAAUCCCAACUUCCCGUCAUUUUUUCCAAUCAUCGGAAAUAAAAUCGGCGUCAAAAUUGAACAACUUACAAAGUUGAUGUAUUUAAUUGUAAAAUUCUAACUUCACGUCAAAUAUGAAUUUUGAGCAAAGUUUGUGUAUUUACAUGCAAUUUUCCCUUAUUUUUAUAUAUAAGUAAACAUGAGAGCUACAAAUUGCAAGAAUUCAAACUUUGACAACCAUGCAAUCAUCCAAGACUAUGCAGCUGGCGAAUGAGCUGAUCUCGGCGGCGGCGGGGAAGAUGACGGCGGAAACGGCGGCUACACCAGCGUUUGGCCAGGAGAGAGAGCGAAAUCUGGCGGCGGCGGCGACGACGGGCUUUCUUUUUUCACAUCAGCAACGGGAGUAGUAGUUUACGUGAAAACGGCGCCGUCCUCGAGAUGGAAGCAUCGUCGGAAGAGAAGGGGUUUUCCACACAUCGUGUGAAAAUGGGUUUGGACAUGAACAAGAUCGCGAGCAAGAAGAGAUACGUGGGUUUCAUUGAUUAUGCUGGAUGUGUGGUGGAGUUGUUUCGGAGAUAUCUAUAUAUAUAGGCAUAAGAGAUGAGAUUAAUUGUCGUUAUUGGGUAGUUAUUAAGGUGCAUUGACUUCAUGUCUUGCAAUUUAAUUAGUUUGAGUUGCAAAAUUUGACGGGAACUUACGAAGAUUUUUCAAAUAAUUAGCCGUGAAUUUGAGCUUAAAACUUGAAUUCUUAACCAACACUUUCAUAAUUUCAUUGUUAGAGAUAGAAAUAAAUUCUUU